UACGUAGGGUGCAGCGUUGUCCGGAAUUAUUGGCGUAAAGGGCUCGUAGGCGGUACCAUCGCGUCGGGAAGUGAAAAGCUGGGACUUGAACCCCAGUCCUGCUUCCGAUACGGGUGGACUAGAGGUAGUAGGGGAGACGAGUACUGGUGUAGCGGUGAAAUGCGCAGAUAUCAGGAGGAACACCGUGGCGAAGGCGGUUCUCUGGGCCUACCUGACGCUGAGGAGCGAAAGCAUGGGAGCAAACAGG
rnacentral:rRNA from 1 species